AAAAAAAAACAAGUAAUCACAAUUUUCAAGAUAUGACAAAUUGCCUCACAGGUGGACUGCACAGCCUUGAAAAGAUAUGAUUAUAUUAGCACCUCGAAGCGGACUAAAGUCAAACUCUUAUGUCCUAAUCACCAGAAGAAAUGUCCAUUCGACACAAGUUAUCACUAUAUAACUCAUUCUCACAACCAAACAUCCCCAAAAGCCAAGGUUAAUAACCCACGGCAAAAUAUGAAAUAAGAGCAAUGCUAUCCAUACACUCUAUUAUUGGGAGUAAAACUUACAUUCAUAAGCUGUUUAUGGCCUACAUUUACCAACUUGUCUUAUCAAAAUAAUAAUAACAAUGACAAUAACGUUAACUAAAACCCAACUGCUUGUAUUAAGACUUGGAUCUUUAAGUGUGAGAUGUACAUCCUGACAAGGAGUGCAAAAGUAGCAUUUUCCAUAAAACAACAGUAUCCUGCGGUCUUUGAAACCUCCUUACCCCAAGGAAUAUUAUUUUUUCAUGGAAACAAGAAGUAAGGGGGAAAAAGAAUCUCAUUUUGAACUGUGUUGUGUCCAUGCUAUACUCUGACAAAGUAUUUCACAGUUAUGAUGCGGCUAAAGCACCAAGCACUACAGAAACCAAAGCAAAGAAAAUGAUUAAAAAAUGGGAGGUUAAAAAAAAAAAAAGAGGGGGGGGUGGUGAGGGCGAAACCUUCUUUGAAUAGUACUUGAUUUCAAGGGGAAAGCCCUAACGUAUUCCAAGGGGGGGUGAGGGCGAAACCUUCUUUGAAUAGUACUUGAUUUCAAGGGGAAAGCCCUAACGUAUUCCAAGGGGUCACCACCUCCACCCAACUCCAAAACCCUAAAAUUGAAGCACCAGUUAAGGUGAGAGAACCACAAGCAUCUACGACACCCGUGUCCGGAUGGGGACGAAACAAGGUCUACAAACGAGAAACCCUAGGCUUUGAUCUCCACGGCUCCACCGCUACUCAGAGAGAUCCGCUCCCUACAUUUACUUCGCACACAGUGCCCCACCACAUCCUAAUGCUAUAUCGCUCUCUCCCUCUCUCUCUCUCUCUCUCUCUCUUUUACACUACCCCAGGUGUUGUGUUGUGUGAUGUGACCCACUCCCAGAGUUACAGCGAGUAAACGCCCAGUUCCACCACCCCCACAGCCGCAAAUAAGGCCAAAGGUGAAAACUUUAACCCUGUCUACACAAAUUUGUAUCAAAAAUGAUGCGAAAUUGGAAUGAAAAGAUUCAAAACAAGGGGAAAAGUGGAAAGGGGAAUUUACCCAAACACCUAGUGGGCAACACCGCGGCUUUUGCGUCGGAUAUGUGGGGAACACCACAGAGAGAGAGAGAGAGAGAGAGAGAGAGAGAGANGAAAAAAUUCGGAAAAAUUCGUCCAAAAAAUGCAGUAAAAAGGGGAAAGAAAAAGGAUAUGAUGGUCUUAACGGGAUUGAACUUGUAGUGGACGGGGGAGGCGGGGCAGGCGAGGUGGUAGAUCUGGUCGACUUCUAGAAGGAUCGGCUCGACGACGUCGUGGCGGAUGAGCUCGAAAUUAGGGUUUCCGAAGUGGUGCACCACGUUCUCCUUCCGCCCCGUGAAGAAGUUGUCGACGACGAUCACGCUGUCCCCCCGCUCCAUGAGCCGGUCCACGAGGUGGCUCCCCACGAACCCCGCGCCCCCCGUCACCACGAUCCUCAGCCCCUUCCUCCGCAACCCUAGCGGCACCUUCCCCCCCACCGACCCCGGCCUCAUCACCACCGCCCCCGCGCCCCCCAUCCCCGAUCGGUGCGGCGACACCAGCGCGCCGCCGCCGGAGACGACGAUCGCCCGCGCCGCCGCCGCCGCCGCCUCGGCGGCGGCGGAUCUUGGAGUAGGAGAGGACGCCGCCGCGGAGGGAGAACCAGCGGGAUCGCCACCCGCGGCCGUAGUUGGUCCACUUGUACAGCACCCCGGCGACGCUCACCUCCGCCCCCGCGCCGCCGCCUCCGGCGACCUCCUCCCCCUCCGGCGUCGCCGGAUCGGGCGAGGAGGAGUGGCGGCCGCGGCGGCAGCGGUGGUGGCGGUGGCAGGGGUCGAGCGCGAUGCAGCAGAGCGGGUGCGGCAUCUCCCUGGGCCGCAUCGCCUCCUCCCCGCCCCUCACGAUCCCCAUUCCGCGCCCUCCUCCAUUGUCGCAACUUUUUUUGGAUCGAGCGCAAGGGUUUGGUGGAGCGGGUACAGAUCGAGAUCGUCGUCGAGAGAGAGAGAGAGAGAGAGAGAGAGAGAGAGAAAUAGAGGGGGUGAAGAGGCAGGGACUAAAAUGUAAAUCGGAGGAAAUUGAGGGAGAAAAGCGAGAAGAUUCGAAUUAUAAGUAACGGAGAACUCGGAGGAGAGAGUCGCGAGCGGGGGACGUUAUUCGCGAUCGUCGGGGCCUUUAAAUAUAGAGCAAUUUAUAAAGGGAAAAUUUGCAUAUAUCUCCUUGUAAAUUCUAAAUUUACACAUCCCUAUUUUUGUUUAUCAAAUGCUAAAAAUUUGUACUUUUAUUUUUAUUUUUAUUUUUUGUCUCUAAUUUUCUCUACUUUUUUUUUUCUAAUUUCAAAUGAAUUCUCUAUUCUAUAUUCCUAAAAAUGUACGAAAAAAUAUAUUUACGCAAAAAAAUUCGGAAGAUAAAAAAAUAAAAUAAAAUAAAAUUUAGAAGAAUAUAUAUAUAAUAUAUUGAUCAAAAAUUUCAUGUGCGUUUGAUAUUUUUCUAUUUAAGUUCCAAUGGUUUUAUGUAAUUUAUUUACCUUUAAUUCAUACAUUUAAUAAUUGCUAGAAAAAUAAUUUUUUUUUCAUUAAGUGUAAUUAAAGCUUUUUACAUGAUCAGUGACGUGGAUGUGACGUAAACGAGUCAGAUCAGAUGUACACUGAGAGGUCACGAAUCUCGGUACGAUUGAUUUACAAUGUUGUACGCUAAGAUAUCGUUUAAUUCGAAAAUAAAUAAAAAUUAGCUAUUUCAAGAAUAAAUAUAAAUUAAGACCAACUUUACGUUUGAAUAAAAAUUAAAUUAUUUCUGUAAAUAAAAAAAAUAACGUCUGCUUAGGUAAGAUGGAAUAAAAAUGAUAGUAUUUUUUUAUAAAUAAAAGAUAAUGAUAUUACUCUCUUAUUAUAUUUGAAUUUAAAUUUUUAAAUUUAUAUUUUUAAAUUUAAAAUUUUAACUUUGAAAUUUCAAAAUUUGAAAUUAAAAUUUAAAAUUUAANUCCCUCUCUCGCUAUAUCGUAAUCCUACACCACCCCGUGACACACGCUUCAUUUACAUCCCUCGCCUAGAGAGACUCAUCGCCACCUCGGCACCUCUAGUUUCGGAUCCCAAAGAGCAAACAUCUGGAACAAAGCAGGGGUAGGCCUGUGCCCACAGCAUCUACGAAUACCAAGAGAGUGGAAUUGACCACGAAGUUAAAAUCCCAAAACCUCAACCCACCUCCACCACUGGGGAACCUUAUGCAAUCCCGAAAGGGGAACUUUAGUUCAUGAUAAGUUUCUUCCAAAGCGGGAGUGGUGGGGGGGGAGAAAAAAAAAAAAAUUGGAGGGUAAAAAAUUAGUAAAAGAAACGAAACCAAAGACAUCACGAACCACGAAAUCGGCGUAGUAUUGACACUUUAUGAAACAGUCUCAUAUCGUACCUGUGUUGUGUCAAGUUUUACUCUAAGAAAAAGGGGGAAUGAAGAACAAAGGUACUUUUUUAUUAUAAGGAACCCCAUUCCUCCAAAGUUUCUGGCGUCCUAUGACAACAAAAUACCUUUUACGAUGAAAACGUGAGGAACAGUCCUACAUGUAGAGUGUGAAUUUCUAGGUUCAGAAUUAUGUUCGUCAACCCAAAAUCAAUUGCAAUAACAGUAACAAUAAUAAUAAAACUAUUCUGUUCAACCAUUUACAUCCGGUAUUUGUCGAAUACUUACAUUCAAAAUGAGGGUUAUUAUCUCACAUACCUAUCGUAACGAGAAUAAAGUAUAAAACGGCACCCAAUAAUUGGAACCGAAAACCCCUACAAACCAACACUCUUACUCAAUAUAUCACUAUUGAACACAGCUUACCUGUAAAGAAGACCACUAAUCCUGUAUUCUCAAACUGAAAUCAGGCGAAGCUCCACGAUUAUAUUAGUAUAGAAAAGUUCCGACACGUCAGGUGGACACUCCGUUAAACAGUAUAGAACUUUUAACACUACUCUCUCUCUCUCUCUCUCUCUUUUACACUACCCCAGGUGUUGUGUUGUGUGAUGUGACCCACUCCCAGAGUUACAGCGAGUAAACGCCCAGUUCCACCACCCCCACAGCCGCAAAUAAGGCCAAAGGUGAAAACUUUAACCCUGUCUACACAAAUUUGUAUCAAAAAUGAUGCGAAAUUGGAAUGAAAAGAUUCAAAACAAGGGGAAAAGUGGAAAGGGGAAUUUACCCAAACACCUAGUGGGCAACACCGCGGCUUUUGCGUCGGAUAUGUGGGGAACACCACAGAGAGAGAGAGAGAGAGAGAGAGAGAGAGAGAGUGAGAGAGAGAGAGAGGAGAGGAGAAGAGGAAAACCCAAUGGUUUCUGUUGUUUGUGGUGGCGUGUGGUACUAUUGGCGCUCGGGUAUCAAGGCGAAAGAAGCGAUCAGAGGAGGGGAAAGGAGAGGCGAGAUUGGAAAGGGUUUAGGAGAGGUGGGGGAUCGAAUCCCCCCAAAUUUAGAAAAGGAAAUCCGGGGAAACGGGUGGAUCGUGGAUCGCCCCUCCUCCGCUACGCCGGGUCCCUCUACGGCGUGGGCGAGACGACGUAGCGCGAGCUGGGGACGGUGGCGGUGGUGGCGACGGCGGCGCCGGCGGUGAGGAGGAGCGGGCUAGGCCGCUGCGGCCUCCCCCUCCUCCAGCGGCCUCCGCCGCCGCGCCCCCGCCUCCACUCGCAGCGGCCCCACGACAUGUUCACCUGGUUGAUGCCGGCGCCCACCGCUAGGGCGACCAAGAGGGAGGCGCCGCCGCAGGAGAGGAUGAGGUUCUAGGCGGCGGCGGCUCCGCCGCCGCCGCAGACGCCGCCGCGGCGGGGACGCGGCGGCGGCAGCGGCCUCCUCCCGCGGCCCCGGCCGCUGCCGCUCCAGGCCGAGUAGCCCGCGCGCAGCCGCUCGUAGGAGCCGCCCCCGCCGCGGCGGCGCCGCGCCUCCGGCGUCUUCGGGCACCUGCAGCACAUAGAGUUCCACCCCUUGAGUCUAGGUUGUUUUAAAGGGGGUCUUAAUUUGGAUUUAAUUAGCGUAAAAGAGAAGAAAACAAAGCUAAAAGGGUAUUGUUUUUUUCUUGGGGUUUUUGAACUCUCUCUCUCUCUCUCUCUCUCUCUCUCUCUCUCCUCUUAUGGGUCNNNNNNNNNNNNNNNNNNNNNNNNNAUAAAAAAUUUUAUUAUAAUAUUUAAAUAUAAUUUAUUAUAAAAUUUAUUAUAAAAUUUAAAUACAAAUAAUAUGUAUUAAUAUAUUACAAUUAAUAAUUUUAUAAUAAAAAUAACGUAUUAUAAUAUAUAACAUAUUAUAUUUAUAUGUUUUAGUUCAAUUUAUAAUUUUAAUUAAGUUUGAAAUUAAGAAUUGCAAAAGCACUAUUCUACCAAAAUGGUAGAAUAGCAAAUUCCUUGCUAUGCCGAGAUAACUAAGAAUAGCAAGUUUGAUCGGGAUAAAAUAUUCCGGUAAAAAAUGACCCCGUUUGGCGGAAUAGUAGGGAUAACUUUUGUUAUUCCCGCUUAUCCUCCGAACCAAACGGGGCCUAAGUUACUUAUUCUUAACACAGAGAUUCAAACGUCUGAGCUCAAUAAUUAUACCUAUUUAGGUGACAACCCACCACUCGAAUAAAUUCAAAUGAAUACUCAAAUUGCAUCCGAGUAUGUUAAUUUUUCUAAGGUUAUUUGCAAACAUACUAAAUUUGUGAAGUAAUCUGCCCUUAUAUAUUUGAAAUUAUAUAUUAAUAUUUUAUUUUAAUUAUAUGUUAAGUUAGAAAAUUGAAAUUAUAUUUUCACCUCUAUAUUUAAAACUAGUGUAGGGACUCGCGCGAUGCGGCGGACAAAAAUAUUUUAGUAAAAAUUUACAGAUUUAAUAAACAGAUAAAAAUGUGAAAAAAUUUAAUAAUAUGAAAAACACAAAAAAAAACUUUCAGAACGAAAUUACAAUCUAAUGGAAACAAUGUAAGAAAAAAAAAAAAGUAAGAAGUAAAAGAGUAAGAAAAAUAAUUAUAUAAAUAGCCUAAAGAGAUAUUUAGAAUAUUGUGAAAAAAUUAUAACAAAUAAUAAAUGAUUAACUGAAGAGGCUAAAAUUUAUAUUUAACUAAUCAUAUAAAGAUUUAUCUGUCCGAUUCUUUUUCUUAACUCAAAUCAGAUUUCUCUUAAACAUCAACUAUUACUGCGUUUACCUAUGAACAUCAAAAUUUUAAUGCCACAAUAGAAUUAGUACAAAAUGCAAAGGAACUGAAGAAAAAAUAGCAAGGAAUAUAUGACAGCCAUGAAAAUAAAUUUUAAAAGUAAUAAUAGUUAGUUUUAACUAUCUAAAUUGUAAAGACCCAUUUUCAUACAUCCAUGAACCAAACAAUCUAUAUAUUAUAUUAGCCUAUUGAUGCAACAGGAUAAUUUAAUCAGUGUUCUUAUUCAUUUUACUUUGUCAAUUUUUAUGUAACUCAAAUAACUUAUUUAUGAAUAAUAGUGUACAAUAAAGAAAAAACUUAAAGAAUAAAUUUUUCUUUCUUUAUCACUUAUUAUGAGACAACGCUUCAUAAAAAAUAGAAAUUAAUAGUGCAGGAAACCAAAGAGAUAACGAUUUUACGGGGGAGAUGAAUAGGCACACUAUGGAGAAGCGAACAAAGAGCGAAGUGAUUGGAGCAAAACAUUUAAUAAGGGGGAAGCCGAAGAGGCAACGAUAUUACAGGAAAUGCGAGCGGACACACUAUGGUGGAGCCGACGAAGAGCAAAGCGAUUGAAGAGUAGAAAUCGGAAAAGGAAGAGACUCUAGAGGUGGGUCCCAUGGGCAAAACUUAAGGAGAUCAUGCCAUGUGAACUAAGAUUAUGAAGAUUAAUAGUGUUUUAUAGAUUAUAUCAUUACAUAUUAAUUUUAACCAACUCUUUUCCCAUAUACUUAAUUAUAUUUCAUUAUUAUAUACAAAGGCAAAAUUAUCAUUCUACUUAAUUUUUAUUAAUCCAAUAACUUAUUCCAAUGUAAUUAAACAUCCAAACAUCUAUAAGAGAUAUCCUUCAAGAGCAAAUAAAUAACAUCCAAAUGCAAUUUAGAAUUUACUGUACGUUAUCUUCAAAUAUUCUCUGCUUUUGAACCAAUAUAAGUUAUCCUUCAGAAUUUAGUUCUUGAACCAAUGCAAGUGUUUCAAUAGUUGGUGUGGGGUCCAUCAGUCCUUCCCCCCCCCCCUCCCCUCAAAGUUGACUAGAAAUAGAAAAAGAUUUAGCUUUUCAAUUUUCUCUUCUUUUCUCGGUGUUUCAUAUUCCCUUCUCAAUUAAUAUUUUUUCGAUUUUCUUUUCUUUCACCGUUGUUUCAUCUGCCCUUCCUAAUGCCCCAACCGUCUUCUCCAUUCUAUUGUUCCCUCCCCUCUUUCUCUCUCUCUCUCUCCACUUGAAGUGGCACCCUCGACAAGGUAGUGAUGAUGCUGAUGUUGUCGCCAACCGCUCCAUCACAGUAUCUCUCUCUCCUCCCUCCUCUCUCUGUCCCUUUCUAAAACCCUACGGUAGCACCACCACCUCCGCCAUUGUCCUUAUGUUUCGCGAGGCGGCCAUCGUCAUCGAAGUCAUUUGGAAGAAGGUAAAUUAGCACAUCACCAAGGUCAACGCUAUUUCUGUCCUCGACCGCCACGAUGCCAUCGCCUAGGCUCCACCUCCGUCACCUUCAACAUCAUGCUCUUCGAGGCCUCAAUGGACGUCGCGGCGCGAUCGAGCCUUAGAUUCGUCCAACUUUUACCAGGUAUUACUAUUCUUCUUCAUCUUCUCUUCUUUCUUCUUUUUGAAUUGUCACUUUAUGCACAUUUUGGAUUCUAAAUUUUUUUCCCUUAAAAUUUCUACCAAUAUUGUGCAGGUUUCUAUACUAGUUAUUAUUAUGUGAGCAAAUUCAUAUGUAUCUUAAAAUUUAUAUACAAAUCAUUCAAACUCUUUUACAUUGUUUAUGCUAACGAAACAACAGCCCAUAGAGACGCGACACUCGAGAAUGAGCAACAAUAUAUAUUUCCCAGCAUUGAUAAUGUGAGAAAUUUUGUUUAUUUAAAGUUUAUUUUGUAAUAGGUAUUUUAUGCAGGCAGAUAAUAAUAUUCAAUAAAAACUUUUCAUUUUAUGUAAAAUUAUAAAAAGUAACCUUCUUGGAACUUACUUUUUACUUGAUUUUCUUUUUUAAGAAGGAAAAAUAGUAUGAUAUCCAUUUCAUUCAUUUAAAUAAAAACUCAAUAGGAAAUGUAAAGCAAAUUAGACUUUAAAUUUCUAAUCUCGAAUAUCAACCAUCAUACUUUUAGCCAUCUGAGGUAGGUAUGAGCGGUUGAAUUUUUGUAUUACCCUAAAUUGAACCUUCAUUAUUAUUAUUAUUAUUAUUAUUAUAGUACUUACUGCAAAUGUUUGAGAGUAAUGGGCAACUCAAAGAGUUCUUUUUAUAUUUAUUUUGGCACUUUUCUAUAUAUUAUAGAGGCCUAUAAAUAAGAGAUAGGUUCAACCAAAAAAGGAAGAGAGAUAUAGUUGUAAUCUAUUAUCUAAACAAUAGAUAUACAUAGUUUUUUCCCGUAAAAUCUCUAUUUCUCGUUUUCACUCUUUUGCACUUAGUUAUAAGGCGUGAAGGUCUGAGCUAACCAUAUAAAAAGCAAGAUUUAUCUAUCUUCAAGAAAAAAAAUACGGGCGCCACACGGCCAUGCUUCGCGAGGGAAAUCACUUAAUUUAUGACACCAGUAUAUGCUUUCGGAGAAAAAUAAUUAUUUUAUAUUAUUUUACAUGAUAUCAGAGGAGGAGGAAGUACUAAGUUCGAGUCUCAGAGAUCAUUCUCUAACAACUGAAGAUUUUGAAAACAAAAAUUAUAAUUAUUAAAAAAUUUAUUUUCUAACGGCUUAAACUUUUGAUGAAAAACGAUUAUCUCGUAUCCCCUCAUUUCCAUUAAAGGCUAAUGUUUACCACCAAACAAAAAAUUGUGAAUUCUAAUAAUUGCAAUUUGGUCCUUAAUCCCUUUCAAUUGUUUUAAUUGUGUCAUUUUCAUAGUGGGUUGAUGUUUACCAAAAUAAAAAAAUUAAACAAAAUGUGUGCAUCUUGAUGGUGACUUUUCGUUGGUUGCAAUUAGGUCCUUAACUUUUGUAAUUUCUCCGUAAGGUAAUUUUCACAUAGAGUUGAUUUUCAACCUCUAAAAAAAAAAAAAAAAAGAUAAAUUACACUUUUGGUCCCCCCAAACUUUCUGAUUAAUUGCAAUUAAGACCACAAUCUAAUAUUGCAACAAUGCGACCCGCUAGACCACUUGUCACGGGGUUAGCUUUUUCGCCUCAAAAAUUCCCGCGCGGCGCUCAAGUGUCGCACACCCGAGCCAGCCUUCUCGAGUCCCUUACGCGGACAAGUCUCCCAGACUUAACAGCGGAAUACCAAUCCAAGCAUUUUGCCAAGCUUGCUCCUCCCCGAGACUUACAGCCCGACCCUUCGCCUGUAAUCGAACCCCUCGUCGAACUCCCCGAGUUCCCAACGAGCAACCCCAAUACCGAGGUUGGCCACCAAGCUAGGUGUCUCCCGUCUUGCCAACCGAUCUCUCCUCGAGAGUGCCUCUUAACCGAAUGCCUUGCUGCCUUCGUCGCCAGCCCAAGGACAUUACAAGUUCUCCCCCAACUUGUCCAAUAUGAGUAUAGCCAAGCAUCUCGCCUCCCACGCGUUUCGCCCCCACGACUCAAUCCGCACGCCUCUAGCGUCGAGGUCCGGGCCUCGCGACAUCGCAUGCCACGAAGGGCACUCAUAAUCAUAAGUUCCUCACCAUCGUGUCUCCCGCGCCUGACAACGCCCGGGACAAACCACCGACUCAAAAUACUUAAGCCCGGUUAUUAUAAUUAGUAUAAACUGAUCGGAAUCAAUAACUCAUCCGUUGUCGUCGGAUCCAAACCAGAAUUAUCGAUUCUAGGGUUCAAGAGGUGACUCCCACCAAAUCUGUUGGUGUAGCACUUAGUUCUCACACUUUCGGUUGGUAUUCGGCUCUGAUACCAAUUGCAAUGAUCCGACUGAUAUUCAGCUCUGAUACCAAUUACAAAAAUUCGACCCGCUAGCAAUAAUAACUCGUGGUCUAAACCACCGACUCAAAAUAUUUAAAUCUAAUUAUUAUAACUAGCGUGUAGGUCUCAUAGAUUAUUAGAAGCGUUACAUUUUCUUAGCUAAAAAUUAAUUAAUUUUAGAUGUAAAAGUGAUGUGACUGUUUUAAUUAGGUUAUUUUCGUGGAGAGCUCAUGUUAACCUAAAAUACCAAGUGCAUAAAUCGCGAAAAUGAUUUUUCCACGUGCUGUAAUUAGAUCUGUAAUUUUUUUUUUUUUUUUUUUUUGUGGUGGUUUCAGCUAGGUCAUUUUCAUGGUGAAUUCAUGUUUACAAAUUGCAAUUCGAUCCUUAAUCUUUUCUCGUUGUUUCAAUUUGGUCAUUGUAAGGACUAAUAUUUAACAAGAAAGUUAAAGAAAAAACAGUAAACUUCAAAUAUAUACCACCCUUAUAGUUUCGUACUUUCUCACUUUAGUACCCUGUGAUUUAAAGUGUAUCAAUUUAGUCCCUUUUUAACAAUUCGUUAAAUUAUAUAUAAAAAAUUUCAGAUACCCCGCCUAGUUUUAUCAAAUAUGCACUUUUGUACCCUUUAAUUUUAACUUCGUCACUGAUUUAACGAAAAAAGAUAAUAGAAGGGACAAUAAAAAGAGAAAAAUAAAACUACGGAAUAUGAAAGUGACACAUUAUAAAUCGUAUAGUACUAAAGUGAAAAAGCGCAAAACGAAGGGGUGGCAUUUGAAGUUUUU
rnacentral:lncRNA from 1 species